AGUACAGGCGUUUAAUAGCCGAAACCGCGGACAGCUCAUUAUAUCAGUUGUAAUCCGCAAGACUUGUAAUCUUAAUGGAUACCUGUAGCAAAUCUAGAGCUAAUACGCUUUCAAGUUUCGCUACGCUAAUAUUAAAAAAAAAAGUGUCUCGCUAAUAACGGGCACUAUUAAGUAAAGCGUGCGAACAGCACUUAUUAGAACCAUAAUCCUACGGGUAACUAUGGUGACUCUGGAUAUUUAAUUGCUAAGCGCUAUGGUCGAGUACCAACGCUAGUCUAUGCGAGCUUCUGCCCUAUCAGCCAGAUGGUUAGAUCAGGGCUAACCAUGGCUUUGACGGGUAACGGGGAAUCUGGGUUCGAUUCCGGAGAGGGAGCCUGAUAAACGGCUACCACAUCCAAGGAAGGCAGCAGGCGCGGAAUUUAACCUAAUGCUAGCUCUGUGAGUUAGUGACGAAAAAUCUUGAUGUGAGGUUCUUAACGGAGCCUUACAAUUGAAAUGAGUUUAUUGUAAAAACUUAUUACGACAAACUACCGGAGGGCAAGCCUGGUGCCAGCAGCCGCGGUAAUUCCAGCUCCAUUAGCGUAAGCUAAUGUUGCUACGGCUAAAGUGUUCGUAGUUGGCUUU
rnacentral:rRNA from 1 species